ensembl:lncRNA
GGUUUGGUUUCCAUGAAGAAGAUGAGCACCGCUGGACAGCAGAGGCUCCCUCAGGUCUCAGUCUCAGCAUUGCCUCCUAACGUUUUUUGGCUCCAACAGACGGGACGGCCUCCGGCUUCAUGAACAGCAGAUUCCUGCCGGCUGUGGAGGCCGCGUUGCCCUGUGUGAUCAGUCUGAGCAGAGUUCAGAUCUUCUCCCUCAUUAGAUCGCCCUCAUUGGAGCUUCCCAGGGAUCCUCGUUCUCCCUCGUUCAGUUGAUCCCAGACGAGUGAAAGCAGAAGCAGUCAGAAACGUAUCACAUUUAGGACAAAUGAAUCAUUUUAGCUGAAUCCACCUUCAGGCAUCAGCUUGUUUGGAAGUCAGGCAGUCAGGACAAAAAGAAAACGCUCUUAUCCCACUACGAAAGAGCUUUAGUGAAAGAAAAAGAACAGGAAAGAUGGAGGAAAAACAAGUUACAGAAGUAAGAAAGGAGACAGUAAGAAGAUAGAGGCUUUAGAAAUGCCGUUGGGAUUCACUGACGUGUUCACAGUAAUCUGAGGAACAGUCACCUGACAAAAACCAAAAGCUCAGCGGACAUGUCUGAGUGAAAGAGAUGCAGGUUUUACUGGAGAAGAUGAAGAUACAUAGGAUUAAUCUGUGGCAGCUUGAAAUAUGAUGCUGCAUAGCCUGUGUGCUCUCCUGUCCAGACCCGUCCGGAUCAAGUCUCGUGCUCCUGAAUCUGUCCAGGUUCCUGGACGGUCCCGGCCACAAGCAGUCAGAACCGGAUCAGCACAGCGUACGCAGGAAACCAAGGCGAUUUUCUCCAAAUGCCCGCGGUGAGCUUCGAUCUGGGCAACGAGUGGGACGACUUUGAGGACGAGAAGCUGCUGCGGGCCAGCGAGGGCUUUGGGGCGGAUCCUCAGAGGCUGCAGAAUGCUGAGCUCAGAGACUCGGGCAGAGCAGGAGGCUGUGCAGCUCCAUCAGCACCACCUCUGCCCAGCCGCUCCUCCCUCUCUGUAACUCCAGCUGCUCCACACAGGCAAUCCCUCCAAACUCCACACUCCAGCAUGAACACACAGCAUCUGUUUGUCACUGAAAGCACAGCCUCAUGUCCUCAUGCUCCUGUGUUUCAGUUUAAAUCCUGGAAUCAGGAAACGGGGAUCCGCUCAUCUGAGUCAGAGACUCUCAGCUGACAGGAGAAUCACGCUGGACGUCAAGAAAGCGAACAUCUUCAGGGGGCAGUUCCCCCCGGAAACCCCCCCGGAAAGGCUGGCGGUGCAG